AUACGUAGGGAGCGGGCGUUACCCGGAAUUACUGGGCGUAAAGCGCGCGCAGGCGGUCUUUUAAGUUGGAUGUGAAAGCCUACGGCUCAACCGUAGAACUGCAUCCAAAACUAUUAGACUAGAGUGUGGGAGAGGAAGAUGGAAUUAGUUGUGUAGGGGUAAAAUACGUAGAGAUAACUAGGAAUACCAAAAGCGAAGGCAAUUUUCUGGAACACUACUGACGCUGAGGCGCGAAAGCGUGGGUAGCAAACGGGAUUAGAAACCCUAGUAGUCC
rnacentral:rRNA from 1 species